AGGGAAUCUUCCGCAAUGGACGAAAGUCUGACGGAGCAACGCCGCGUGAGUGAUGAAGGUUUUCGGAUCGUAAAACUCUGUUGUUAGGGAAGAACAAGUACGAGAGUAACUGCUCGUACCUUGACGGUACCUAACCAGAAAGCCACGGCUAACUACGUGCCAGCAGCCGCGGUAAUACGUAGGUGGCAAGCGUUGUCCGGAAUUAUUGGGCGUAAAGCGCGCGCAGGCGGUCUUUUAAGUCUGAUGUGAAAGCCCACGGCUCAACCGUGGAGGGUCAUUGGAAACUGGGAGACUUGAGUGCAGAAGAGAAGAGUGGAAUUCCAUGUGUAGCGGUGAAAUGCGUAGAGAUAUGGAGGAACACCAGUGGCGAAGGCGACUCUUUGGUCUGUAACUGACGCUGAGGCGCGAAAGCGUGGGGAGCAAAC
rnacentral:rRNA from 1 species